rnacentral:rRNA from 1 species
UACGUAGGUGACAAGCGUUGUCCGGCUUUACUGGGCGUAAAGAGCGCGCAGGCGGUCGUUCAAGUCGAGUGUGAAAGCCCCCGGCUCAACUGGGGAGGGUCAUUCGAUACUGAUCGACUCGAAGGCAGGAGAGGGAAGUGGAAUUCCCGGUGUAGUGGUGAAAUGCGUAGAUAUCGGGAGGAACACCAGUGGCGAAGGCGACUUCCUGGCCUGUUCUUGACGCUGAGGCGCGAAAGCUAGGGGAGCAAACGGG